ACUGUUAACUCUUUCUUCAAUUUCGUCACCUCAGCUUGUAAAACUUCAAUUUUGAACCUCAACUUCUCCGUUUUGCAUCUAGAUUAGUCACUCAAUGCUUCUUUCUCUUUUGUCAAUAACUUUGCCUUGUUUCUUUUUGCUUGCAAUUGGCAUUUGAGUUUCUCCCAUUCCAAAUCUCAUCUCUUGCAAUUUUGGAUCAAUUCGUCCCAUUGUCCUUCGACAAUCCAUAAGAUGUGUUCUUU
rnacentral:lncRNA from 1 species